CCUACGGGAGGCAGCAGUGGGGGAUAUUGCACAAUGGGGGAAACCCUGAUGCAGCGACGCCGCGUGGGUGAAGAAGUAUUUCGGUAUGUAAAGCCCUAUCAGCAGGGAAGAAAGAAGACGGUACCUGACUAAGAAGCCCCGGCUAACUACGUGCCAGCAGCCGCGGUAAUACGUAGGGGGCGAGCGUUAUCCGGAUUCACUGGGUGUAAAGGGAGCGUAGACGGCCGUGCAAGCCAGGAGUGAAAGCCCGGGGCCCAACCCCGGGACUGCUCUUGGAACUGUGCGGCUGGAGUGCGGGAGGGGCAGGCGGAAGUCCUGGUGUAGCGGUGAAAUGCGGAGAUAUCAGGAGGAACACCGGCGGCGAAGGCGGCCUGCUGGACCGCGACUGACGUUGAGGCUCGAAAGCGUGGGGAGCGAACAGGAUUAGAUACCCGGGUAGUC
rnacentral:rRNA from 1 species